UUACCCUUGCAUCCAAGGGAUGAAUCCCUCUUGGUCAUUGUGUGUGAUCCUUUUAAGGCAGUGUAAGAUUUUGUUUGUGAGUAUUUUGUUAAGGAUUUUGGCAUCUACAUUUAUCAGGGAAAUUGGUUUGUAGUUUUGUGUGUGUGUGUGUGUGUGUGUGUGUGUGUGUGUGUGUGUGUGGAUGUGUGUGUGUGUG